UGUGCGUGUCUUUAGCAGUGAAAUUAUUUGCUCCCCAUUGUUUUAAAAUCUGUGACAGAAUUACUUUGGCAGCAAGGCAGAUCUACAGUGCUUGUUUUGGUCUCUUUCAGCUCUGUAUCUCACCAACUAUAUUGUGUUAUAUAGGAAACUGGUAUAAGAGACUGCAUUUCAGGAUGCUGAGACCCAGAGGAAAUUCAGACCUUAUUUCUAUUAUGAAUGUACAUAAAAAGUACUGACCAGGAAAGAGUAUAGACACAUGGGUGAUGUGUAACACUCCUGGAUGAUCACUCUGCACUAAGCAAAGAGGAGGGCCCAUGAAGCAGAAGCCUGGAGCUCAGAGAUCAUGGACUCAAACCCCAACACUGCAAAUAAAGAAUUCCUGCUAGGAGGGGAAUAACUGGCUGGUGUAACAGUUGCUGGCUGAAGGAAUUGGAGAAUUGAGUAGCUGCUGCCAUGAUUUAGCACUGCCAGAGUCUUUGGUGCAGAUUUUAUCAUUUGGAUGACCCAGAUGUAAGGAAUUAAAGUGUGGCUGGGAGUUCUGUGCACACCCUGAAGUGCUAUGAAUGCAACACUGAAUGCAGAGUGUCAUUUAUGAUUACGAUUUGGUUGAAACAUUCCCUAUUCCCAUGGGAGUUAGAGCAGGCAGGGACGGGUAAAACUAUUACUCAGUCAUGCCAGAAGUCUUGUUAUGAUUUUCUACGAUUUCAGUUCUGUUUUCUUUUUUCCUGUAGUUAGGUAUUUUCCAAAUGCUUAUCUGUCUUAUGUGGCCAUCAGGUUCACAGAGGCCACUGGGUAGGGCUGGGGUCAGACCAGCCUUUUGCUCACUGCUGCUGCCCACAUCUACCAACAACAGCGUGCUAUCCCCACAAGGCCCGCAAUGUCUGUCCUCUCAGCAGGACAAGGGCAUUUCCCCCCCUCUUCUUUUCUAAAAUAUAGUGUUCAGUUCACUUGCCAGGAAUGCAGAGGACAUUUCCUCCCAUCCCCACAGAGGUAUUUUACAAGUGCUGCUCUUUAUGACCAC